UACCAGCACCCCGAGUGGUCGGGACUAUUAUUGGGCCUAAAGCAUCCGUAGCCGGUCCUGCAAGUCUUCCGUUAAAUCCAGCUGCUCAACAGAUGGGCUGCGGGGGAUACUACAGGGCUAGGAGGCGGGAGAGGCAAGCGGUACUUUAUGGGUAGGGGUAAAAUCCGUUGAUCCAUAGAAGACCACCAGUGGCGAAGGCGGCUUGCCAGAACGCGCUCGACGGUGAGGGAUGAAAGCUGGGGGAGCAAACCGG
rnacentral:rRNA from 1 species